rfam:Ovis aries breed Texel chromosome 5, whole genome shotgun sequence.
GGUAGUGAGGCUGAGCGGUCUAAGGCACUGGAUUAAGGCUCCAGUCUCUUUGGGGGACGUGGAUUCAUGUCCCACUGCUGCCA